GAAAUGCGAUAAUUAAUGUGAAUUGCAGAAUUCAGUGAAUCAUCGAGUCUUUGAACGCACAUUGCGCCCCCCGGUAUUCCGGGGGGCAUGCCUGUCCGAGCGUCAUUGCUGCCCUCAAGCACGGCUUGUGUGUUGGGCUUCCGUCCCUGGCAACGGGGACGGGCCCAAAAGGCAGUGGCGGCACCAUGUCUGGUCCUCGAGCGUAUGGGGCUUUGUCACCCGCUCCCGUAGGUCCAGCUGGCAGCUAGCCUCGCAACCAAUCUUUUUAACCAGGUUGACCUCGGAUCAGGUAGGGAUACCCGCUGAACUUAAGC
rnacentral:misc_RNA from 1 species